CGAACGCUGGCGGCGUGCUUAACACAUGCAAGUCGAACGUGAUUUUUGUGGAAAGCCCUUCGGGGACGGAAGCGAAAUGAAAGUGGCGAACGGGUGAGUAACACGUGAGCAACUUACCUUACACAGGGGGAUAGCCGUUGGAAACGACGAUUAAUACCGCAUGAGACCACAAAGCCACAUGGCUUAGGGGUAAAAGAUUUAUCGGUGUAAGAUGGGCUCGCGUCUGAUUAGCUAGUUGGAAGGGUAAAGGCCUACCAAGGCAACGAUCAGUAGCCGGUCUGAGAGGAUGAACGGCCACAUUGGAACUGAGACACGGUCCAAACUCCUACGGGAGGCAGCAGUGGGGAAUAUUGCACAAUGGGGGGAACCCUGAUGCAGCGACGCCGCGUGAGCGAAGAAGGUUUUCGAAUCGUAAAGCUCUGUCCUAUGAGAAGAUAAU
rnacentral:rRNA from 1 species